GUGUAGCGGAUGCAGAGUGUGUGUUAGUGUAGUGAAUGCAGAGUGUGUUAAUGUGUAGCGAAUGCAGUGUGUGUGUUGUGUUAGUGGAUGCAGCGUGUGUGUGUGUGUUGUGUUAGUGUAUGCAAUGUGUGUUGUGUUAGUGUAUGCAGUGUGUGUGUUGUGUUAGUGUAUGUAUUGUGUGUGUUGUGUUAGUGUAUGCAGUGUGUGUUGUGUUAGUGUAUGCAGUGUGUGUGUG